rnacentral:rRNA from 1 species
GGACCCAAACUCUAAUGUUUCUUAUUGUAACUUCUGAGUAAAACAAACAAAUAAAUCAAAACUUUCAACAACGGAUCUCUUGGUUCUGGCAUCGAUGAAGAACGCAGCAAAAUGCGAUAAGUAAUGUGAAUUGCAGAAUUCAGUGAAUCAUCGAAUCUUUGAACGCACAUUGCGCCCGCUGGUAUUCCGGCGGGCAUGCCUGUUCGAGCGUCAUUUCAACCCUCAAGCCCCCGGGUUUGGUGUUGGGGAUCGGCUCUGCCUCACGGCGGUGCCGCCCCCGAAAUACAUUGGCGGUCUCGCUGCAGCCUCCAUUGCGUAGUAGCUAACACCUCGCAACUGGAACGCGGCGCGGCCAUGCCGUAAAACCCCAACUUCUGAAUGUUGACCUCGGAUCAGGUAGGAAUACCCGCUGAACUUAAGCA